rnacentral:rRNA from 1 species
GGCGUAAAGGGUGGUUAAGGAAAAAAACAAAACUAAAGCUAAAUGCCCCCCCGGCUGUUAUACGCUCUCGGGGGUAAGAAAAUCAACAACGAAAGUGGCUUUACCCCCCCCCCCGAUUCCACGAAAGUUAUGGUACAAACUGGGAUUAGAUACCCCAUUAUGCCUAACCCUAAACAUUGAUAGUAAGUCACACCCACUAUCCGCCUGGGUACUACAAGCACCAGCUUCAAACCCAAAGGACUUGGCGGUGCUUCAGAUCCCCCUAGAGGAGCCUGUUCUAGAACCGAUGAUCCCCGUUAAACCUCACCUCUUCUUGUUCCUAUCCCGCCUAUAUAUCUCCGUCGCCAGCUUACCCUGUGAAGGCUCAUAAAGUAAGUCAAACCGGUGAAAAUUCACCCCCAACGUCAGGUCGAGAUGUAGCUCAUGAAGAGGGAAAAAAUGGGCUACAUUCCCUGGUUACAGGGCAUACAGAUGACAGACUGAAAUUUCUGUUUGAAGGUGGAUUUAGUAGUAAGCAGGAAAUAGAGUGUUCUGCUGAAACCGGCCCUGAAGCGCGCACACACCGCCCGUCACUCUCCCCAUGCAUAAACUUCCAAAACAUAAUUAAUUUGCUAGACU